rfam:Myotis lucifugus cont2.46692, whole genome shotgun sequence.
AUUGCUUCUCAGCCUUUUGGCUAAUAUCAAGUAUAGAGAUCUGCUCUUGUCAGUUUAACAUUUGAUACAGACUCUAUUUGAGUACAUAUCAAAUGGAUUUUUAGAACAGGGAGAUGGACUAGGAGCUUGCUCUGUCCAUGCUAUUGCAGUAUCUUCAGGAACAGUGCACUCCUU